UACGAAGGGGGCUAGCGUUGCUCGGAAUUACUGGGCGUAAAGGGCGCGUAGGCGGCGCCGCAAGUCGGGCGUGAAAUCCCCGGGCUCAACCCGGGGGCUGCGCCCGUGACUGCGGGGCUAGAGGGCGGGAGAGGCUCGCGGAAUUCCCAGUGUAGAGGUGAAAUUCGUAGAUAUUGGGAAGAACACCGGUGGCGAAGGCGGCGAGCUGGCCCGUUUCUGACGCUGAGGCGCGACAGCGUGGGGAGCAAACAGG
rnacentral:rRNA from 1 species